UAUGUGCCUCGAAGAGGUACUGUUGUCUGUCCAUGAUGACUAUACUGCUCCCCUUGUCUGCCGGUUUGAUCACUAUCUCGUUGUUCUCCUUCAGCUCUGUCAAGGCCUGCCUCUCUUUUCUGGUGAUGUUAGACUUAUCUUUUGUUGUAGGCAUAUCCCCAAUGGCUGAUGCUGUCUCUGUUAUAAAUUCUGUUAUCUCCCUCGGGACAUCCUCGUCGUCUGGGGACCAUCCUGUGAGUGGCCUGAAGGGUAUAAUUUCUGCAGGUUCUGCGUCACUGAAGUGGUGUAUUAACUUAAUGGAUCGAUAGAAUCUGUGUAGGUCACCCUGCACUUGUUCCUUGUGGGUUUUGGGAGUAGGGACGAAGGGCCUUGGCGACAGCCUCAUGCACACGAUCAGUGGGCUGGCCCUGGCGGUAUUCAUCAUCCAAAUAUUCCAGACUGUUUUGCUCGCGGAGACCGCUUGCCGAACUCUUCCCGACUGGGCAACGAUUUUCCAGUUUCUCUAUCUCUGUAGCUUCUUCAGGGAAAGAGAUCUAAUUCUCUUCGGUUAGGGUUUUUAAGGGGUAGGUUGAUGUUCCUCCCUUUCUGGGUGGAGCUUCCCAUGUGCUCGGUCCUAGGACCAGUCACUUUGGUUGGGCUCUACCUGUUCUUUGUUUGGACUGGUCGGUCCACUUCCAUUGUUUGUAAUGUUACCAAAUGUAUCUGGCAUCUUGUAUCAUUUGUUGCUAGUGUUUUCAGCCUCUCUUGAUCAAUAAAUGUCCAAAUUCCUCUUGUCCA